rnacentral:rRNA from 1 species
AUGUUGUGGCCAAUUGAUGCUCAUGGAGUCCUAGCGAUCCCGAUCCCUAUGCACAAUAUGUCGUAUUUUAUUGCUUGGAGCUAUACCAAAAAUGGUUUAUUCACUAUUUGAUCAGCUUAUGUGGAGGAAUGGAACAAACAAUAUGGGAGGAAAUUGGAAUAUUCAAAUGGCAUGGGUAGAAGUAAGGUUAAUCCUAUUUGGGGUAAUAUCUAGAAAUUAGUUUGUCCAGCGAAGAUUAAAUUUUUUAUUUGGUGGACGCUUCACGGGACUCUACCGUCUCGUGUCGCACUAGCCCACAGACAUAUAAAAACUCAACUAGUCCGCCCAGCAUGUUGGGAUGGACCGGAGGACACGAAACAUGUGUUGUUUCUGUGCCAGAAGGCAAAAGAAGUGUGGGAACAUUUGGGGUUGUAUGAAGUGGUAAAAGCCUGUGUCAUUGAUCGUGCAAGAGAGGCAGUCCUUGAAUUCUUACCCCUCAUGCCUGAUCAUGAACUACCUAUCUUGAUCUCUCGGAAUGCACGGGAACUGAUCGCUAUAGCUACAUAGUAUUUAUGGUGGAAUAGACGAAAGCUAGUCCAUCAGGGUAAGUCUCAAGAGGCGUCCCAAACCUCGAUGGGGAUUCGGGCUAUAACAAUGAAUUAUGUAAUGGCCCAAUCACCUAAAGCAAAGAGGAAGACUGAAGGAUGGUGCAUACCUCCCAUGGGGUUUGUUAAAUUGAAUGUGGAUGCUUGUCUUGAUCAUGAUCAGCUAAGGGGCACAACGGGUGCUGUUAUCAGAGACGGCAAAGGAAACUACAUAGUAGGUGGUAACUGGAAGAUUCAGUACUAUGCAGAUGCUCUAACAUCAGAGGCAUUAGCACUCAGGUUUGGUUUAGGUUUGGCGCAAAGGGCAGACUGCAAUCGUCUCAUUAUCAAUUCUGAUAAUAUGGAAGUCAUUGACACAAUGAAGAACAGUGGAUUGUCGUCGGAGCGGCAGCUGCAAUUUUUGAGGAUUGUUUUUUUAUGGCCUGUGAUUUUACUCACACUAGUUUUGAACAUUGUAAUAGAGAAGCGAAUAAAGUAG